ACACACACACACACACACACACACACACACACACACACACACACAAUCAGAAUUGAAAGGGCUGAGUUAUGUAAUUCUCUACAAAUUCUCCCGUGCUGUGGGGAGAUGUUACACUUACUUUAUUUUGAACAUCAAAGUAUUAUUUAGGGAACACACAUUGCCUGAGAUGACCUUCGACAGUGUGCGUUUUGGAUGCUUGUGGAGGUCAGCUGAGGCAGUCGUGUUUUGAAAAGAGGAUGCUUAAAAAAAAAAAUCUAGUAAUAUUCUAGGACAUCUGACCUCACAGUUUCAAGUGUUGGAUUUCUUUGUAAACAAGACUUUUAAAAGAUCACUUAAAAAUGGCACAAGACACUUGAAUAGCCUAGAUCAAAGUGAAGGGGAUAUGUUCAGGGAAACUCAAAAUGGAGCUGUAAUCACAGGAACAGGUGUAAAAACGCAAGGCCACUGAAAGAUUGCAUAAAUGUUCUCCUAGUGGGGUGGGAACAUCUGGCCGUGGGCCAUACAAGGCGAUCCAGUCACUUGGUGCAUGAACACACAGAUACAUGUUCUUCUCAUUGGCUUGCUGAGGCCUGUCUGCCUGUAUUGGUAAUUUUGUAUGGCACUCAAAUGAUGUUAUAAUAUCUAAGCAACCUUUGGCAGCAGAAAGGUUCCCCAUCCCUGUAAAUGUACAUGGAGAUGGAAUAAAACUAGAAAUCUUCCUAAACUAGCAUUAAUACAAAUAAUGUUUGCAUGCAUAGUUAUAUACAUACAAUUUGGGAUAUUACAAUAUUGAGGUGCCAAGGUAAAUCUAUUAAAUAGAGCACAUUUUGGUAUCUCAAUAUAAUACAUAUUAAUGAUAUAGAUUCUUGCAUUUAGAUCAUUUAUCUGACCAAAUUGUCCAUAGAACUUUCUCCACUAUGAUCUACAGGAGACAGUAGAGGAUCACUUAUGGUUGAGGUCACCCUGUGAGCCAGUGGAGAUGUCUUUAAUUUGCCUCUAAUAAAAGGGAAUGAAAAUUGAUGUCAAGAAGUUUUCUCACAUAUUGUCAUCGUGAAUCAUUAUGUCACUAAUGGCACUCUCAUUUCUCACUUGAGCUUUCUUGGUUUGCAAGAGCCAAGUCCAAAUUUAAUAAGAAACAACAACAACAACAACAAAACUCAGCAGAAAAUAAAAUGAAUAAAAACUAUAAUAACCGAGAGAGAGCAAGGGAAAGGGUGACGUUGUCCAAAAAUAAAAAUGUACUCAUUACCUGAGUUAUGUAAC